CUUCUUCGUCUUGGAACCGUAUUAAGAUGAAGUGGUAGAGUGCGCAUCGCGUUUCUGAGGGGGUGAGGUAUGAAGCGUGGCGGGAGCAUGCGCGGGGCAACCAUCUUCCGCCCCGCGCUUUCUAUGCGCACGCCUGGUAUUCAAUAUUUUACCCUCUUAUUAUCUUGUUUUAGACAAAAUUUUUCCUUAGUAGGCAUAAAUGAGAAUAAGGGUCGUCGCACACUUGACCGGGUAUA